GACGAACGCUGGCGGCGUGCUUAACACAUGCAAGUCGAACGGAAAGGCCUCUUUCGGGGGGUACUCGAGUGGCGAACGGGUGAGUAACACGUGAGUAACCUGCCCUUGACUUUGGGUUAACUUCAGGAAACUGGGGCUAAUACCGGAUAGGAGCACCUGCUGCAUGGAGGGGGUUGGAAAGUUUCGGCGGUUGGGGAUGGACUCGCGGCUUAUCAGCUUGUUGGUGGGGUAGUGGCUUACCAAGGCUUUGACGGGUAGCCGGCCUGAGAGGGUGACCGGCCACAUUGGGACUGAGAUACGGCCCAGACUCCUACGGGAGGCAGCAGUGGGGAAUAUUGCACAAUGGGUGGAAGCCUGAUGCAGCAACGCCGUGUGCGGGAUGACGGCCUUCGGGUUGUAAACCGCUUUCGCUCAUGACGAAGCUUUGUGUGACGGUAGUGGGUAAAGAAGCACCGGCUAACUACGUG
rnacentral:rRNA from 1 species